AAUUCUUAGCGGUGGAUCAAUGUGUUGAUGAAGAACGCAGCUAGCUGCGAGAACUAAUGUGAAUUGCAGGACACAUUGAUCAUUGACACUUUGAACGCACCUUGCACCCCCGGGUACCUCCCGGGGCUAUGCCUGUCUGAGGGUCA
rnacentral:rRNA from 1 species